rnacentral:other from 1 species
CUACCCCUACUGUGUGCGUGAUGUUGCAUUACGUUUUGAGCCAACACUGACCAUAAGGGACUCGAGCUACGAUGGGGGACGCGAUAGGCUGCGGCCAAGGCGAAGCCCAUCAUGCAGGGACCCACCUGCGCAAGCAGGUUCAAAACCAGGCAGCACACGGCAUGGUGGGGAAGCC